rnacentral:rRNA from 1 species
GAUGAACGCUGGCGGCGUGCCUAAUACAUGCAAGUCGAGCGAACAGACGAGGAGCUUGCUCCUCUGACGUUAGCGGCGGACGGGUGAGUAACACGUGGAUAACCUACCUAUAAGACUGGGAUAACUUCGGGAAACCGGAGCUAAUACCGGAUAAUAUAUUUAACCGCAUGGUUCAAUAGUGAAAGACGGUUUUGCUUUCACUUAUAGAUUGAUCCGCGCCGCAUUAGCUAGUUGGUAAGGUAACGGCUUACCAAGGCAACGAUGCGUAGCCGACCUGAGAGGGUGAUCGGCCAAACUGGAACUGAGACACGGUCCAGACUCCUACGGGAGGCAGCAGUAGGGAAUCUUUCGCAAUGGGCGAAAGCCUGACGGAGCAACGCCGCGUGAGUGAUGAAGGUCUUCGGAUCGUAAAACUCUGUUAUUAGGGAAGAACAAAUGUGUAAGUAACUAUGCACGUCUUGACGGUACCUAAUCAGAAAGCCACGGCUAACUACGUG